rfam:Vulcanisaeta sp. OSP_8 scf1118686596477, whole genome shotgun sequence.
GGGCCCGUAGUCUAGCCUGGUUAGGAUGUCCAGGGCAUAACGCCCGCAUAGGCCUUACGAGCGGGAGGUCCCGGGUUCAAGUCCCGGCGGGCCCA